rnacentral:rRNA from 1 species
AGUGAACGCUGGCGGUAGGCCUAACACAUGCAAGUCGAACGGCACCAAAGUAAUAGCUUUCUCUUACGGGUGGCGAUUGGCGGACUUGUGAGGAAUACAUCGGAAUCUACUUUUUCGUGGUCGAUAACGUUGGACAACUUACGCUCAUACCACAUCCGGCCUGCGCCAGAAAGCAUGGGAUCUUCGCACCUUCCUCGACAGAUUUAGCCGCUGUCGGAUUAGCUAGUUGGCGCGGUAAAGGCCCACAAGGGCUACGAUCCGUACCUGGUCGGAAGGUAUGAUGAGCCAGACUGUAACUCAGACACGGUCCAGAAACCUACAGAAGGCAGCAGUGGGGAAUAUUGGACAAUGGGCGCAAGCCUGAUCCAGCCAUGCCGCGUGGGUAAAGAAGGCCUUCGGAUUGUAAAACCCUUUUGUUGGGACAGAAAAGCAGCAGGUUAACACCACGCUGUUCUGACGGUACCCAAAGAAUAAGCACCGGCUAACUUCGUG